GCAGGGAGGUGGGACGGCAGAAAGAAAAAUAAAUCAUUCUGGCAAAGUUUUCGGAAGACACCGAAAGGAAGCAUCCGAGCUGCGCCCAAAGGGGAGGACCUGGGUUUUGUGGCCAGUGAGAUCACCAUGAGCGACGAAGAGCGCAUUCAACUGAUGAUGAUGGUGAAGGAGAAGAUGAUAACGGUGGAGGAAGCGCUGGCUCGGCUGAAGGAAUAUGAAUCACAGAACAAGCAAUCCGACAGCGCAGAUGGGAUCGAUUGGACCGACGCGCCCAAUCUCUCCAUCACCGAAUCCUCCUUCUGCAACGUAAGUCUCAG